rnacentral:rRNA from 1 species
CGGGGAUAACAGGCUUAUCUCCCCCAAGAGUCCACAUCGACGGGGAGGUUUGGCACCUCGAUGUCGGCUCAUCGCAUCCUGGGGCUGUAGUCGGUCCCAAGGGUUGGGCUGUUCGCCCAUUAAAGCGGUACGCGAGCUGGGUUCAGAACGUCGUGAGACAGUUCGGUCCCUAUCCGUCGUGGGCGUAGGAAAUUUGAGAGGAGCUGUCCUUAGUACGAGAGGACCGGGAUGGACGCACCGCUGGUGUACCAGUUGUUCUGCCAAGGGCAUAGCUGGGUAGCUAUGUGCGGAAGGGAUAAGUGCUGAAAGCAUCUAAGCAUGAAGCCCCCCUCAAGAUGAGAUUUCCCAUAGCGUAAGCUAGUAAGAUCCCUGAAAGAUGAUCAGGUUGAUAGGUUCGAGGUGGAAGCAUGGUGACAUGUGGAGCUGACGAAUACUAAUAGAUCGAGGACUUAACCAUAUAA